rnacentral:rRNA from 1 species
CUGCGAGGAUAUUAUCGUUCAAAUGUGCGUGCAAGGGCUGUCGCUGACUCAGUCGUGCACGCCCGGUGCCCUCGCAUAUCCAUCUCACCCUCUGUGCAUCACCGCGUGGGUUCUUCUCGGAGGGGGCUCGCGUUUUCACACAAACUUAGUGUAGAAUGACCGUAAUGCGUUAACCCGCAUCAAUACAACUUUCAACAACGGAUCUCUUGGCUCUCGCAUCGAUGAAGAACGCAGCGAAAUGCGAUACGUAAUGUGAAUUGCAGAAUUCAGUUGAAUCAUCGAAUCUUUGAACGCACCUUGGCCCCUUGGUAUUCCGAGGGGCACACCCGUUUGAGUGUCGUGAAACCUCAACCUCCUUGGUUUCUAAGCAGGCUUGGACUUUGGAGGCCUUUGCUGGCACUUUUGAAGGCCAGCUCCUCUUAAACAAAUUAGCAGGGUCCUCUUUGCCGAUCCUCGACGUGUGAAAUGUUUCCAUGUCUUGGUUAUGGCUCUGUCCUGCUUCUAACCGUCUGGGAGACAAUGUUCGACCUCCCGACCCACCUUGACCUCAAUCGGGUGAGACUACCCGCUGAUAAGC